CUGGGGGUAGCGCAAGUGGCAGCGCAGGGCGUUUGGGACGCUCAGGUUGCAGGUUCAAAUCCUGUCCUCUAGACCA
rnacentral:tRNA from 1 species